rnacentral:rRNA from 1 species
AGCGUACACGGUGGAUGCCCUGGCAGUCAGAGGCGAUGAAGGACGUGCUAAUCUGCGAUAAGCGUCGGUGAGGUGAUAUGAACCGUUAUAACCGGCGAUUUCCGAAUGGGGAAACCCAGUGUGUUUCGACACACUAUCAUUAACUGAAUCCAUAGGUUAAUGAGGCGAACCGGGGGAACUGAAACAUCUAAGUACCCCGAGGAAAAGAAAUCAACCGAGAUUCCCCCAGUAGCGGCGAGCGAACGGGGAGGAGCCCAGAGCCUGAAUCAGUGUGUGUGUUAGUGGAAGCGUCUGGAAAGGCGCGCGAUACAGGGUGACAGCCCCGUACACAAAAAUGCACAUAUUGUGAGCUCGAUGAGUAGGGCGGGACACGUGGUAUCCUGUCUGAAUAUGGGGGGACCAUCCUCCAAGGCUAAAUACUCCUGACUGACCGAUAGUGAACCAGUACCGUGAGGGAAAGGCGAAAAGAACCCCGGCGAGGGGAGUGAAAAAGAACCUGAAACCGUGUACGUACAAGCAGUGGGAGCCUCUUAAUGGGGUGACUGCGUACCUUUUGUAUAAUGGGUCAGCGACUUAUAUUCUGUAGCAAGGUUAACCGAAUAGGGGAGCCGAAGGGAAACCGAGUCUUAACUGGGCGUUAAGUUGCAGGGUAUAGACCCGAAACCCGGUGAUCUAGCCAUGGGCAGGUUGAAGGUUGGGUAACACUAACUGGAGGACCGAACCGACUAAUGUUGAAAAAUUAGCGGAUGACUUGUGGCUGGGGGUGAAAGGCCAAUCAAACCGGGAGAUAGCUGGUUCUCCCCGAAAGCUAUUUAGGUAGCGCCUCGUGAAUUCAUCUCCGGGGGUAGAGCACUGUUUCGGCAAGGGGGUCAUCCCGACUUACCAACCCGAUGCAAACUGCGAAUACCGGAGAAUGUUAUCACGGGAGACACACGGCGGGUGCUAACGUCCGUCGUGAAGAGGGAAACAACCCAGACCGCCAGCUAAGGUCCCAAAGUCAUGGUUAAGUGGGAAACGAUGUGGGAAGGCCCAGACAGCCAGGAUGUUGGCUUAGAAGCAGCCAUCAUUUAAAGAAAGCGUAAUAGCUCACUGGUCGAGUCGGCCUGCGCGGAAGAUGUAACGGGGCUAAACCAUGCACCGAAGCUGCGGCAGCGACACUAUGUGUUGUUGGGUAGGGGAGCGUUCUGUAAGCCUGUGAAGGUGGCCUGUGAGGGUUGCUGGAGGUAUCAGAAGUGCGAAUGCUGACAUAAGUAACGAUAAAGCGGGUGAAAAGCCCGCUCGCCGGAAGACCAAGGGUUCCUGUCCAACGUUAAUCGGGGCAGGGUGAGUCGACCCCUAAGGCGAGGCCGAAAGGCGUAGUCGAUGGGAAACAGGUUAAUAUUCCUGUACUUGGUGUUACUGCGAAGGGGGGACGGAGAAGGCUAUGUUGGCCGGGCGACGGUUGUCCCGGUUUAAGCGUGUAGGCUGGUUUUCCAGGCAAAUCCGGAAAACCAAGGCUGAGGCGUGAUGACGAAGCACUACGGUGCUGAAGCGACAAAUGCCCUGCUUCCAGGAAAAGCCUCUAAGCAUCAGGUAACAUCAAAUCGUACCCCAAACCGACACAGGUGGUCAGGUAGAGAAUACCAAGGCGCUUGAGAGAACUCGGGUGAAGGAACUAGGCAAAAUGGUGCCGUAACUUCGGGAGAAGGCACGCUGAUAUGUAGGUGAAGCGACUUGCUCGUGGAGCUGAAAUCAGUCGAAGAUACCAGCUGGCUGCAACUGUUUAUUAAAAACACAGCACUGUGCAAACACGAAAGUGGACGUAUACGGUGUGACGCCUGCCCGGUGCCGGAAGGUUAAUUGAUGGGGUUAGCGGCAACGCGAAGCUCUUGAUCGAAGCCCCGGUAAACGGCGGCCGUAACUAUAACGGUCCUAAGGUAGCGAAAUUCCUUGUCGGGUAAGUUCCGACCUGCACGAAUGGCGUAAUGAUGGCCAGGCUGUCUCCACCCGAGACUCAGUGAAAUUGAACUCGCUGUGAAGAUGCAGUGUACCCGCGGCAAGACGGAAAGACCCCGUGAACCUUUACUAUAGCUUGACACUGAACAUUGAGCCUUGAUGUGUAGGAUAGGUGGGAGGCUUUGAAGUGUGGACGCCAGUCUGCAUGGAGCCGACCUUGAAAUACCACCCUUUAAUGUUUGAUGUUCUAACGUGGGCCCCUAAUCGGGGUUGCGGACAGUGUCUGGUGGGUAGUUUGACUGGGGCGGUCUCCUCCUAAAGAGUAACGGAGGAGCACGAAGGUUGGCUAAUCCUGGUCGGACAUCAGGAGGUUAGUGCAAUGGCAUAAGCCAGCUUGACUGCGAGCGUGACGGCGCGAGCAGGUGCGAAAGCAGGUCAUAGUGAUCCGGUGGUUCUGAAUGGAAGGGCCAUCGCUCAACGGAUAAAAGGUACUCCGGGGAUAACAGGCUGAUACCGCCCAAGAGUUCAUAUCGACGGCGGUGUUUGGCACCUCGAUGUCGGCUCAUCACAUCCUGGGGCUGAAGUAGGUCCCAAGGGUAUGGCUGUUCGCCAUUUAAAGUGGUACGCGAGCUGGGUUUAGAACGUCGUGAGACAGUUCGGUCCCUAUCUGCCGUGGGCGCUGGAGAACUGAGGGGGGCUGCUCCUAGUACGAGAGGACCGGAGUGGACGCAUCACUGGUGUUCGGGUUGUCAUGCCAAUGGCACUGCCCGGUAGCUAAAUGCGGAAGAGAUAAGUGCUGAAAGCAUCUAAGCACGAAACUUGCCCCGAGAUGAGUUCU